GGCACCUAUGCCGCCCGGGGGAUGGCUCAGCUCGGGCGCCGAGGAAGGGCGUGGCAAGCUGCGAUAAGCCCGGGGUAGGCGCAGGCAGCCGUCGAACCCGGGAUCCCCGAAUGGGACUUCCCGCUGCGGGCGAAGAGCCCGCAGCGCCCCCGUUUGGGGGCGGGAACCCCCCGAAAGGAAGCAUCUGAGUAGGGGGAGGAGAAGAAACCAACAGGGAUCCCCUGAGUAGGGGCGACCGAAAGGGGGAGAGCCCAAACCAAUCCCCCACGGGAGGACCGUGGGGGGAUGAGGGGUUGCGGCCCUGCGGCUGGGGCUUCGAGCCCCGGCGGGCCGACCCACGGUAGCCGAAGUGGGCUGGAAUGCCCCGCCGUAGAGGGUGAUAGCCCCGUAGGCGAAACCGUGGGGGCCCGUGCCGCAGGGCAGAGUACCACGGCUUGGUAUUGCCGUGGGAAGCUGGGAGGAACCGACUUCCAAGGCUAAAUACGUCCCGAGACCGAUAGCGAACUAAGUACCGUGAGGGAAAGCUGAAAAGAACCCCGGGAGGGGGGUGAAAAGAGCCUGAAACCGGGCGGCGACAUACGGUGCGGCCCGAAAGGGGUGAAACCCCCGAAGGAAACCCGGGCGACCGGGGAGUACGAGGGGGAUGGACCGGGGUCGCACCGUCCGUCUUGAAACACGGGCCGGGGAGUUCACGGCCGUGGCGAGCUUAAGGGGGUCAACCCCGUAGGCGCAGGGAAACCGACAGGCCCGCAGCCGGGGGCGACCCCGGCGAGGGGCGGGGUCCUAAUAGGGCCCGGAGUCACGGCCGUGAGACCAGAAACCGGGCGAUCUAGGCGGGGGCAGGGCGAAGCCGGGGGAAACCCCGGUGGAGGCCCGCAAGGGUGCUGACGUGCAAAUCGCUCCCCUGACCCCCGUCUAGGGGUGAAAGGCCAAUCUAGCCCGGAAGAUAGCUGGUUCCCGCCGAAGUGGCUCGCAGGCCAGCCCCGCCGGAGGCCGGGCCGUGGGGUAGAGCUACUGAUUGGGCGUGCAGGGGGCGUAAAGCCCCCGGCGCCCAGUCAAACUCCGAACCUGCGGCCGCCGUAGAUGGCGGGAGUGGGGUUCCCCGGGGUAAGCCCGGGGGCCGAGAGGGGAACAACCCAGACCGGGGUUAAGGCCCCUAAGUGCCGGCUAAGUGCCAAGCCAAAGGGCGUCCCCCGCCUAAGACAGCGGGGAGGUGGGCCUAACAGCAGCCAUCCUCUAAGGAGUGCGUAACAGCUCACCCGCCGAGGCGGGGGGCCCCGAAGAUUGGUCGGGGCUUAAGCCGGCCGCCGAGACCCCGGGCCGCGGCUCCGAUGGAGCCGCGUGCGGUAGGCGGGCGUCGGGGUGGCGUAGAAGCCGGGCCGCGAGGUCCGGUGGAGCCGCCCCGAGUGCGGAUCCCGGCGGUAGUAACAGCGAAGCGGGGUGAGAAUCCCCGCCGCCGGAAAGGGCAAGGGUUCCCCGGCAAUGGUCGUCAGCCGGGGGUCAGCCGGUCCUAACCGGGACCGUAACACGGAUCCCGGGAAGGGGAAACGGGUUAACAUUCCCGUGCCGCGGGGGUACGCUUCGCGGCUACGCAAGGCCCCACCCCCGACGCCUCGGGGUAGGCGGACCGGGGGCCCCCUUAGGGGGGCGACCCGGCUAACCUGCCGAAGGCCGGGGAGUGCCGUAACGGCGAGAACCGGCCGAAGGGGGGAAUGGCCCGCCUAUGGCGGGUUCCGCCGACCCCUGGGGCCCUUGAAAAGGGGGUGGGGAAGGAUCCCCCGCGCCCGUACCGAGAACCGACACAGGUGCCCCUGGGUGAGCAGCCCAAGGCGUCUGGGGGCUAACCCGGGCCAGGGAACUCGGCAAAUUGGCCCCGUAACUUCGGGAGAAGGGGUGCCUGCGGUCCUGGGGCCCGAACCCUGGGACCGCAGGUCGCAGUGCCUAGGGGGGCCUGACUGUUUAACAAAAACAUAGCUCCCCGCUAGCCCGAAAAGGGUGUGUACGGGGGGUGAGCCCUGGCCACUGGCGGUCCGUGAAACCGGGGUACAACCCGGCGAAGCGCCGCUGAAGGCCGGGAGUAACCCUGACUCUCUUAAGGUAGCCAAAUGCCUUGCCGGGUAAGUUCCGGCGCACAUGAACGGGUCAACGAGGUCCCCACUGUCCUGGCCCGGGGCCCCGUGAACCCCCUGAGCCGGUGCACAGUCCGGCAUCCCCCCGCAGGGAGAGAAGACCCCGUGGAGCUUUACCGCAGCCCGGCGUUGGCCCCCGGGUGGGGGUGCGUAGCGUAGGUGGGAGCCGAUGAGCCACCCUCUCCGGGGGGUGGGGAGGCGUCCAUGAAACACCACCCACCCCCGCCCGGGGGCCUAACCCCGCCCCGGGUGGGCGGGGGACAGCGUCGGGUGGGCGGUUUGGCUGGGGCGGCACGCCCGCGAAAGGGUAACACGGGCGCCCAAAGGUCGGCUCAGGCGGGUCAGAACUCCGCCGUAGAGUGCAAGGGCAAAAGCCGGCCUGACCGGACCUCUGAAAGCAAGGGGUCCGGCCGGGAAACCGUGGCCUAGCGCACGCUCGUGCCCCCUCGGUGGGGGCCGGGCACGACAGAAAAGUUACCCCGGGGAUAACAGAGUCGUCGCGGGCGAGAGCCCCCAUCGACCCCGCGGUUUGCUACCUCGAUGUCGGCUCUUCCCAUCCUGGGGGUGCAGCAGCCCCCAAGGGUGGGGCUGCCCGCCCAUUAAAGGGGAACGUGAGCUGGGUUCAGACCGUCGUGAGACAGGUCGGUCUCUACCCGCGGGGGGUGUGGGCCGCCUGAGGGGAAGGUGCCCUUAGUACGAGAGGAACGGGGCGCCGCGGCCUCUGGUGUACCGGUUGUCCUGGUGGGCAACGCCGGGCAGCUAAGCCGUAGGGGGUAACCGCUGAAAGCAUCUAAGCGGGAACCCCUCCCCGAAAAGAGGCGGCCGUUGGGCGCCGGCCUGGUGCCGGCGUCCACGAGGGCUCCCGUAGAAGACGGGGUUGAUGGGGCGGGGGUGUGAGCCCCGAGGGGGCUUAGCCCUCGAGGGGUGUAGCCCGCCGCUCCCAAUCGCCCGAGGCCG
rnacentral:rRNA from 1 species